rnacentral:rRNA from 1 species
CCUACGGGAGGCUGCAGUGGGGAAUAUUGGACAAUGGGGGGAACCCUGAUCCAGCCAUGCCGCGUGUGUGAAGAAGGCCCUCGGGUUGUAAAGCACUUUCAGUGAGGAAGAACGCCUGGUGGUUAAUACCCAUCAGGAAAGACAUCACUCACAGAAGAAGCACCGGCUAACUCCGUGCCAGCAGCCGCGGUAAUACGGAGGGUGCGAGCGUUAAUCGGAAUUACUGGGCGUAAAGCGCGCGUAGGUGGCUUGAUAAGCCGGUUGUGAAAGCCCCGGGCUCAACCUGGGAACGGCAUCCGGAACUGUCAAGCUAGAGUGCAGGAGAGGAAGGUAGAAUUCCCGGUGUAGCGGUGAAAUGCGUAGAGCUCGGGAGGAAUACCAGUGGCGAAGGCGGCCUUCUGGACUGACACUGACACUGAGGUGCGAAAGCGUGGGUAGCAAACAGGAUUAGAUACCCUGGUAGUC